rnacentral:lncRNA from 1 species
GGCGUAGGCUUCGUUUGGGAUUGCGGGGAGAUUGCGUUACGUGCGGCGAGAAAGUACAUUGGAAAAAUAUUCUGUUUAUUUCCGUACGUAAUAUUGUCCUCCGCAUUUCGCGAUGAGUCGGUUACAAUAUAUUUUUUGCUGUUCCACCGGAGAACGCAGAAACAUAUUCCUAUAUGCUUUUUCCUUAACACCAUUUUAUCUAAUAGUGUUAGAUAGAUCUCAAUACCAAACUAAGCCUUAAUAGUUGGAGACAACUUCAGCAGAAAGCUUCCUAAGGUUGCGUUAUUGCCUUAUUGGGAAGCUCAGAUUAGCCGUCACAUGUUAAUUUCAUCUCUAUCUAAAAAUUUGUUGGAUAUUUUCUUUAUUGCAAAAAUUCAAAAUAUAAAAUAUAAAAAAUUUUAAUCAUAGAGAAAACUGAUUAUAACUUUAGAUUAGAGACAAAAUUGAUAUACGACAGCAAAUCAAUAG